CAAGUACCAACACUACGUCGUUUCACAGCACUAAAUUAGAACAACGACUAAACAUUAGCUCACUUCCCACUACCACCUGUAAAUUCAACUCCGAAAAUUCUCAUCGGAGACGCAUAGUAAUAUUUUGUUCUAGGGUUUGCUAAUCACUUUGUCAUCGCCGGCCAUGGCGUUACAAACCGGAAUAGGCUUAGGCAGAAUCAUCUUCAUUGUCGGUGCUGGGUAUACUGGUACUGUGCUGUUCCAAAACGGUAAAUUAUCUGAUGUAUUAGGCGAGCUUCAGAACUUGAUAAAAAAUUAU